GGAUUAGGCAUGCAAGUCGAACGAGGAUAUAUCCUUCGGGAUAUAAGCCGAGUGGCGCAAGGGUGAGUAAUGCAUAGAUUACCUGCCUCUAGGAUAAGGACAACUUUGUGAAAACGAAGCUAAUACUUAAUAAUACAAAUGGAAAUAAUUUCUAUUUGUCAAUGGGAGGGUAGCAAUACCUUUUGCCUGGAGAGGGGUUUAUGUCCUAUCAGCUUGUUGGUGGGGUAAUGGCCUACCAAGGCGAAGACGGGUAGCCGGUCUUAGAGGAUGGUCGGCCACACUGGGACUGAGACACUGCCCAGACUUCUACGGAAGGCUGCAGUCGAGAAUCUUUCGCAAUGCCCGAAAGGGUGACGAAGCGACGCCGCGUGAGUGAGGAAGGCCUUCGGGUUGUAAAGCUCUGUCAGGAGUUAAGAAAUAUAAGUGUGCUAAUACCACAUUUAUUUGACGAAGGCUCCAAAGGAAGCCACGGCUAACUCUGUGCCAGCAGCCGCGGUAAUACAGAGGUGGCAAGCGUUGUUCGGAAUUAUUGGGCGUAAAGAGCACGUAGGUGGGUUUGUAAGUCAGAUGUGAAAGCCUUCUGUUCAACGGAAGAAUUGCAUCUGAAACUGCGAGUCUUGAGUGUAGGAGGGGAGAAUGGAACUUCUGGUGGAGCGGUGAAAUGCGUAGAUAUCAGAAGGAACGCCGGCGGCGAAAGCGAUUCUCUGGCCUAUUACUGACACUCAGUGUGCGAAAGCUAGGGGAGCAAACGGGAUUAGAUACCCCGGUAGUCCUAGCUGUAAACGAUGGGCACUAAGUAGAGGGAAUUACCGAUGUUCUCUCUGCCGUAGCUAACGCAUUAAGUGCCCCGCCUGGGGAGUACGGCCGCAAGGCUAA
rnacentral:rRNA from 1 species